AACGCUGGCGGCGUGCUUAACACAUGCAAGUCGAACGAGAAUCUGUGGAAAGAGGAUUCGUCCAAUUGAAACAGAGGACAGUGGCGGACGGGUGAGUAACGCGUGAGGAACCUGCCUUUCAGAGGGGGACAACAGCUGGAAACGGCUGCUAAUACCGCAUGAUGCAUCGAGGGGGCAUCCCUUUGAUGCCAAAGAUUUUAUCGCUGAAAGAUGGCCUCGCGUCCGAUUAGAUAGUUGGCGGGGUAACGGCCCACCAAGUCGACGAUCGGUAGCCGGACUGAGAGGUUGAACGGCCACAUUGGGACUGAGACACGGCCCAGACUCCUACGGGAGGCAGCAGUGGGGAAUAUUGCACAAUGGAGGAAACUCUGAUGCAGCGACGCCGCGUGAGUGAAGAAGUAAUUCGUUAUGUAAAGCUCUAUCAGCAGGGAAGAUAGUGACGGUACCUGACUAAGAAGCUCCGGCUAAAUACGUG
rnacentral:rRNA from 1 species